rnacentral:lncRNA from 1 species
AAUAAUUUCAAUUACAUGCACGUAACAAAAGAAUGUCAAGACAUGUAAUGCUUGGAUGACCCCUGGAAUAAGUAUUGGAUUCUUCCAAUACCAUAACAACAACUUUGAGUUUCGUUUAAAUAAUUUAGUGCAGAACUUUAGCUGUAGUGACAAUCAAUUGCCAUUCCAUGUUCCAAGCAUUUUACUUGCAGACUUAACACAUUCUGAUACCUCCAAUGCCCUUGUCUUACCAAGGCAUCUAGUAAACUAGAAAUGAACAAGUCACCGAUAGCGAUAGCGGAACGGUAUCGCGACAGAGCACAUAUGAACAUGGAAACAUUGGAUAGUUGAAAUGUUAAAAACCAAAACUAGAAAAGAAGAAAAAGGCACAGAAAUCGUUAGCCUGAAUCAUGAAUAAUCUAGCUAAACAAGAAAUUACCAAAUGAUGAGAACUGAUUUCCUACACUAGUUAAUUUUUUGUGGAAAUCAGUGCUGAUCACAAAACGUAUAAGAAAAAUAUAUGUACAUAUGGGAUAUAAAAAGGAAAACACAUUUGCUUUACUCAUACCUAAAAGAUACAUAAUAGCAAUUUAAAAUAUCAGACGUGCCAUGGCAUGUUAACAAGGAAAUGCCUCAAAAGCAUGGUACUAACAUUGCAAUACGAGAUAAUAACAUAUCAUGUUUCUAACUGUUAGGAUUAUCGGCCCAAAACUCACAAGCAAUCGUAAAAAUAGUAAAAAUAAAUCAAGAACAGAAAUCGAACACAAGAAUUGUUCACCCAGUUCAACCAAACACGGCCUAAUCUGGGGGGCUCAGAAGUAAGCCCGUCACUAACAAAAAACCAUCAAGAGAGUGUAUAACCAUUUGAGAAAACCAAAGCAAACCCACUAUAUGGUCAUCAAUCCACAAGGAUCUCUCAAUAACUUGAACCCUAGCCCACAAGACUAGACAGAACCUUGUCAAGAACAAAAUACAGGUUUACCAACCACAAAUAAGGCCUAAAACACUGUACCAACGUUCUACCAUCAUUAGAUAACUACAAGAUUAUUAUAAAGAUCACCAAAGUUCUUCAGAUCUAAAAAGAAAAGAAGAAGCAGAUGAGAGAGAGAGCUAGAGAGAGAGAUAACCAAAAAGACAAUUUCUUUAAAAGAGAAAGUGACUGACUGCUCCUUUUCCCAACCCUCAAAAGGCAUUACUUAUUGAAGACUAAAUCUCAGUCAUAGGAUUAAAUCAACGGUCCACAAUAGCCAAGAGAAAGCACAACUCGUGUGACCAUUUGUAAGCCAAUGCCAAACUGCCAACUGUCCAUACAGAUACAAGUGGGAGAAAACGCAUUUUCACUUAUGAAAGUAUGGUUUGAGAAACACAACUUCACAAAUCUUCACCUUGGUUCUCAAAUUGCCCACUUCCUCUCUUGUUGCUAUAAUGCUAGUGACAGAACCAUACCCUACAUCAUCGCCCAGGUACUUGCACAAAAAAUCAACCUGUAUCAAUAUUAAGCAAUGAUAAACAAGAUCUGAAUUUAUUAACUGGCAGUAUUUUAAUCCCCAUAUUAGCAGGAUUGAAAUCAUUAUGAAUUUUCUCAAGAACCAUUUCACUAGAUGAGAGUUUUUCUCUUAUGAAAUGAUACUUCACCUCAAUGUGUUUUGACUUUCAUGAUAGACAGGAUUUUUGCUUAAAAGUAAAGGACUUUGACUAUCAGUUAAUAUCACUGGUGGUGAAUUCAGAAAAUUCAGUUUAGUCAAGAUCCCUUUAAGCCAUAUGCAUUCUUUUACACAUUCAAUAAUUGCAACAUAUUCGGCUUCAGUGCUGGACAAAAUUACAAUUGAUUGAAGUUGAGACUUCCAUGUAAUACAAUUAUCACCAAGUGUAAAAAAGAAGGCACUUGUAGACUUUCUUUAAUCUUUAUCUCCAACGAAAUCAGAAUCCAUAUAACCUUUAAGAGUUAAUGGUUUUGAACACCAAUCCUACAUUUAGUGUCCCAACUAUGUAUCUAAGUAGCCACUUUAACCCAGCCCAGUGUGGUUUUCCAGGGUUUGCCAUAAACCUACUUAAAAAACUAAUUGAAUAUGCAAGAUCUGGUCGUGUUGUAAUCAUUGAAAACAUAAUAGAUCCAAUAGUAUUGGCAUAUGGAAUAUUUGUCAUAUCUUUAAUCUUAGAUUUAGUUUUAGGACACUAUGCAGAUGAAAGACUCAUAUGGGCAGCAAGGAGAACAUCGACAGACUUAGCUUCUUUCAUGCCAAACUUAGUUAUAACUUUGUGCAGGUAGGGUUCUUGUAAUAUAGUUAGCAUACUUUCUUUCUUAUUUCAAUUUAUCAUUAUCCCUUAAAUUUUCUUGGUACUUCCUAAGUCCUUCAUAUCAAAUUCAAACCUUAAUAAGUUUUUCAGCCUCAUUAUUUUAGUUUUACUAGGGCUAGCUAGAAGCAUAUCAUCUACAUAGAGUAGUAGAUACGUUUCAGACCCGAUUUUAGAGUUGUUAUUAUAAUAAACAAUGGCCAUAUUCACUCCUUCUAAAACCUAUUUUCAAAAUGCAUGUGUCAAAUCUUAUAUAUCACUGUCUUGGAUGUUGUUUGAGUCCAUACAGAGAUUUUUGCGAUUUACAAACAAAAUCAAAUUUUCCCUUUUCUUCGAAACCUUGUGGUUGACACAUGUAUAUGUCAUCUUCCAAUUCCUUAUGUAAAAAAGGCAGUUUUCAUGUCUAAUUGUUCAAGUUCCCAAUCAAAUUGAACAACUAGAGCCAAAAAUGAGUCUUAUGAAUUUAUAUUUGAUUACAGGCGAAAAAAUUUCAUUGUAAUCAACUCCCUCCCUUUGACUGAACCUUUUGGCUACUAGCCUUGCCUUAUACCCGAAAAGAUCAAAUUCUAAAAUCCCUUCUUUCAACUUAAAGAUCCACUUACAUUGAACCACUAUUUGAUUCUUUGGCUUCUUUACAAGUUUCCAGGUUUUAUUUUCAAGAAGGGAUUUCAUUUCUUUUUUCAUUGCUUCUUUCCAUUCUUUUGAUUUAGAACUAUUCAUAGCUUCUUCAUAAGAUAUGGGUUCAGAACGGUCUAAGUUUUCACCAGAGAUGAGGGCAAAUUCAGUCAGAUUAUUCAUUUCAUACCUAGGUUAGGUUUAAUCUGUCUCCUUUCCCUAUCUCUCACCAAUUGAUAAUCUUGGGUACUAGCUUCAUUUUCCGGGUAGUUAGAUGACACAGUUUCAAAUUCUGUUUCAAUUCCAGUUUGGGGUAGAUUAACUUCACCUUCAUCAAUAUUUUUUACACUCUCACUAACCUGUACAGGUUCUUGUUCAGUUAUAUCAGGUCUGUUAUUAUUUAAUUUUGCCAACUUCACCUCAUUUUGGGAAGUACCCUUUUCAGCCAGAUCUGAUUUAUCCAUAUUAUUCUUCAAGCAAGGCAUCUCAGUCUUAUUAAACACCACAUUUCUGCUGUUAAUGAUCUUUAUUCCCUUAAUACCAAGUACCCAUAACUUGUACCCUUAAACCCCUUCAAGGUAUCCAAGCAUAACACACUUGGUAGCCCUCGGGUCUAAUUUUCCCUUAAUUUUAUGUGCAUAUGCAGCACAAUCAAAAACUCUUAAGUGUGAUAGAUUUGGUGUUUUCCAGUCCAUAGUUCUUGUGGAGUUUUAAACUCUACAUAACUACAAGGGGACCUAUUUAUAAGGUAGGCAGCCGUGCAUAAAACUUCUGCCCAAAACCCUUUUGCAAGCCCAUAAUUGAUCAGCAUACAUCUUACCUUAUUCAUAAGGGUUCUAUUCAUUCUCUCAGCAGACCCAUUUUGUUGGGGUGUGUGCUUAACAGUUCUAUGUCUAAUUAUUCCUUUUUGCUUGCAAAAAUUAUCAAAUUCAGCAUUAUAAAAUUCUAACCCAUCAUCUGUCUUUAAGGUUUUCAAUUUCUUAUCCAAUUGGUUCUCAACCAUCUUUAACCACAAUCUGAAUUUUUGAAAGGUUUCAGUUUUGAAUUUCAAUGGAUAGGUCCAGACCUUUCUGGAAUAAUCAUCAAUUAUAGAAAGAAAAUAUUUAUUUCCACCAAAGGUUGGGUGGUUUUCUGACCCCCAUAAAUCGGACAUAGUCUAAUUGUCUAUUUGUUGUGCGUGACCUGAUUUCAAAACUCACUCUAUGAGACUUCCCUAGCACACAUGUUUCACAAAAAUUAAGGGGUUCCACUUUAUCUUUCCCAAAUGAUUUCUAGUCAUUAAGAUGCUUUAAGCCCUUAUUUCCAAUAUGACUCAUUUUACAAUGCCACAAUUCGGAUUUGCCCUCGAUUAUAGUUAAAGAUCUUGGGUCCUAGGAAUUAACAGUUUUUCCCAUUAAGUAGUAUAGCCCAUUCCUUUGAGGCCCCUUCAUGACUACAAGAGAUCCUUUAAAGAUUUUCAAAGUGUUAUUUUCAGAUUUAAAUGUAUGUUCCUCAUCUUCAAGCAUCCCCAAUGAAAUGAGGUUUCUUUUUAGAUUUGGGACAUAUCUCACAUUUUUAAUCUGCCCAAUACUUCCAUCAUACAUUUUGAUUGAAAUGUCACCAAUUCCAAGUAUAUUUUAUGAAUUGUUAUUACACAUAUAUACUUUCCUGAGUUCUAUCUCCUUGUAGUUAUGAAACCAAGAUUUAUUUGGACACAUAUGAAAUGUACAUCCAUAAUCAAAAAUCCAAUUAGUGUCUAUUUCUUCAUUUGUCACAGUCAUUACAAGAAGGCUGUCAAGUUCAGAACUCACAGCAGCAUUAUUUAACUCAAUGUUGCUGGAUUCUUUCAGCUUCUUCUUUAACUCAAAGUAGUCUCUUUUGAAAUGGCUAAGUUUACCACAGUCAGAGCAUUUUUUUAUUACUUUUGUCUCUUGAUUUAGAUUUGGUUUUGGAUUUGAACUUGAAUCUUUUAUUCUGUGAAUUGUUUUCCCUCUUUUUUGGUCUUCCUCUCACAAAUAAACUCUCUUUUCUUGAGUUUAGUUUAGAUUCUUUCUUGACUUCCAAUUCCAUAUAUCUUAGGGCAUUUGUCACGAUUGAUUACAUUAAAGCAUCUCUUGAGUAUUUUAUAGCAUUUCUGAUAUCCUUAUAAGAAUCAGGUAAGAAGCUUAGAAGGAUCACUGCAAGAUCCUCAUCUUCAAAUUUUUUAUUAUUAUGAGAAAGACUCUUUACCCGUAUGCUAAAAUCACUCAAAUUGGUUUCAAGGUUUUCCCGAUCAUCAAUUUUAAAACUGAACAGUUUUUCCAGGAGAUAAAUUUUAUUUGGUAAAGUCUCGGUCAAGAACAAAUUAUCUAAGGCUGUCCAUAGGUCCCUAAUAGUUUUAGAUUCCUCUAUUUGCCUUACUAUAUUAUCAGAUAAGUGCAGGAUAAUCGAGCUGUAAACAAUUUCAUUAAUUUCAAGAAUCUCAUCAGGUUUGGCUUUAAGUUCGUCAGAAUAUUUAUCAGGGUCAUCCAGGGCUUUAGCAAUCCUUUGUUGGACCAAUAUGGCCCUCAUUUUCUGCUUCCAAAUUGAGUAAUCCCCCUUUCCAUCGAAUUGUGAUAAUUCGACCUUCGAACCAAUCAUAGGUUCUGUAAAAGGGUGGUUACUACUAUAAGCCAUGACAAACACCACAAUUUAUGAACACCAAAAAACCAAGAAACUUUCUAACAGAUUUAAAGUAAUGCAAAUCACCAAAUGAAAAAUAAUUAUCUUAACUUACACAACUGAAGCAACAUACACAAGCAGACAACGUGCUGGGAAUUCAAAGAAUUACACAACAGAUAUGAAGAACUUUGUAUAAUACCUAAACAUGCUCCUAUUGUCAGAUUAAUUAUCAAUUCACAGUAUACAAUGUCAGUAAUUAAUCCACAGAACAAUAGACAUGCAAUUUUUGUGCACGAAAAUUAUUCAGGUUCUUUUAAUGGUAAGAUCUCACCUGCAGCACUGUUGAACAGCAGUGCAAUCAAAAGUUUUUAAAGAUCACCCCAUCACUUGCUAAACUAGAACCGGUCAAGUACUAACCAAUCUUUAGUUCUUAACCUAUGCACUUCAACAGAAAAAUUUGCCUCCUUAGAUAUCUAUGCAGAUCUUUAAAAUCUGGAUAGAAAGUAAAAAAAUCUCAAGAAAUGAAAAAGCCGAAUACUGCAGAUCCAGAAAAACUAGAAUAUGCACAACGAUUUACUUUUCCCAACUCACAGAAUAUCCUCAGGGCAAGGUAUAUCAUGCAGAUGCCUCGAAAAUUGAGCUCUGAUACCACAUUUGUUAGGAUUAUCAACCCAAAACCCACAAGCAAUCGUAAAAAUAGUAAAAAUAAAUCAAGAACAGAAAUCGAACACAAGAAUUGUUCACUCAGUUCAGCCAAACACGGUCUAAUCUGGGGAGCUCAGAAGUAAGCCCGUCACUAGCAAAAAACCUUUAAGAGAGUGUACAACCAUUUGAGAAAACUAAAUCAGACCCACUAUAUGGUCAUCAAUCCAUAAGGAUCUCUCAAUAACUCGAACCCUAGCCCACAAGACUAGACAAAACCUUAUCAAGAACAAAAUAGAGGUUUACCAGUCAAAAAACAAGGCCUAAAACACUGUA